ACAGCAGCAGCCGCGGUAAUACGGAGGAUCCAAGCGUUAUCCGGAAUCAUUGGGUUUAAAGGGUCCGUAGGCGGUCUUGUAAGUCAGUGGUGAAAGCCCAUCGCUCAACGGUGGAACGGCCAUUGAUACUGCAGGACUUGAAUUAUUGGGAAGUAACUAGAAUAUGUAGUGUAGCGGUGAAAUGCUUAGAGAUUACAUGGAAUACCAAUUGCGAAGGCAGGUUACUACCAAUUGAUUGACGCUGAUGGACGAAAGCGUGGGUAGCGAACAGGAUUAGAUACCCCUGUAGUCCCUGUCUCUUAUAC
rnacentral:rRNA from 1 species